rnacentral:rRNA from 1 species
CUCGUAGGUGGCCGACUAAGUCGGACGUGAAAUCCCUCGGCUUAACCGGGGAACUGCGUCCGAUACUGGUUGGCUUGAGUUUGGGAGAGGGAUGCGGAAUUCCAGGUGUAGCGGUGAAAUGCGUAGAUAUCUGGAGGAACACCGGUGGCGAAGGCGGCAUCCUGGACCAAUACUGACGCUGAGGAGCGAAAGCCAGGGGAAGGCAAACGG